rnacentral:rRNA from 1 species
AUUGAACGCUGGCGGCAGGCUUAACACAUGCAAGUCGAGCGAGCGGCGGACGGGUGAGUAAUGUCUGGGAAACUGCCUGAUGGAGGGGGAUAACUACUGGAAACGGUAGCUAAUACCGCAUACCAUCAGAUGUGCCCAGAUGGGAUUAGCUUGUAGGUGGGGUAAGGGCUCACCUAGGGGACGAUCCCUAGCUGGUCUGAGAGGAUGACAAGCAACACUGGAAAUGAGACACUGUCCAUACUCCUACGGGAGGCAGCAGUGGGGAAUAUUGCACAAUGGGGGCAAGCCUGAUGCAGCCAUGCCGCGUGUGUGAAGAAGGCCUUCGGGUUGUAAAGCACUUUCAGUGAGGAGGCGUUACCCACAGAAGAAGCACCGGCUAACUCCGUGCCAGCAGCCGCGGUAAUUC